rnacentral:rRNA from 1 species
GGUUAAGCGACUAAGCGUACACGGUGGAUGCCCUGGCAGUCAGAGGCGAUGAAGGACGUGCUAAUCUGCGAAAAGCGCCGGCGAGGUGAUAUGAACCUUUGACCCGGCGAUGUCCGAAUGGGGAAACCCAGUGUGAUUCGUCACACUAUCGUUAACUGAAUACAUAGGUUAACGAGGCGAACCGGGGGAACUGAAACAUCUAAGUACCCCGAGGAAAAGAAAUCAACCGAGAUUCCCCCAGUAGCGGCGAGCGAACGGGGAGCAGCCCAGAGUCUGAAUCAGCUUGUGUGUUAGUGGAAGCGUCUGGAAAGUCGCACGGUACAGGGUGACAGUCCCGUACACGAAAAUGCACAGGUUGUGAACUCGAAGAGUAGGGCGGGACACGUGGUAUCCUGUCUGAAUAUGGGGGGACCAUCCUCCAAGGCUAAAUACUCCUGACUGACCGAUAGUGAACCAGUACCGUGAGGGAAAGGCGAAAAGAACCCCGGCGAGGGGAGUGAAAAAGAACCUGAAACCGUGUACGUACAAGCAGUGGGAGCACCUUCGUGGUGUGACUGCGUACCUUUUGUAUAAUGGGUCAGCGACUUAUAUUCUGUAGCAAGGUUAACCGUAUAGGGGAGCCGAAGGGAAACCGAGUCUUAACUGGGCGUUAAGUUGCAGGGUAUAGACCCGAAACCCGGUGAUCUAGCCAUGGGCAGGUUGAAGGUUGGGUAACACUAACUGGAGGACCGAACCGACUAAUGUUGAAAAAUUAGCGGAUGACUUGUGGCUGGGGGUGAAAGGCCAAUCAAACCGGGAGAUAGCUGGUUCUCCCCGAAAGCUAUUUAGGUAGCGCCUCGUGAACUCAUCUUCGGGGGUAGAGCACUGUUUCGGCUAGGGGGCCAUCCCGGCUUACCAACCCGAUGCAAACUACGAAUACCGAAGAAUGUUAUCACGGGAGACACACGGCGGGUGCUAACGUCCGUCGUGAAGAGGGAAACAACCCAGACCGCCAGCUAAGGUCCCAAAGUCAUGGUUAAGUGGGAAACGAUGUGGGAAGGCACAGACAGCCAGGAUGUUGGCUUAGAAGCAGCCAUCAUUUAAAGAAAGCGUAAUAGCUCACUGGUCGAGUCGGCCUGCGCGGAAGAUGUAACGGGGCUAAACCAUGCACCGAAGCUGCGGCAGCGACACUAUGUGUUGUUGGGUAGGGGAGCGUUCUGUAAGCCGUUGAAGGUGGCCUGUGAGGGUUGCUGGAGGUAUCAGAAGUGCGAAUGCUGACAUAAGUAACGAUAAAGCGGGUGAAAAGCCCGCUCGCCGGAAGACCAAGGGUUCCUGUCCAACGUUAAUCGGGGCAGGGUGAGUCGACCCCUAAGGCGAGGCCGAAAGGCGUAGUCGAUGGGAAACAGGUUAAUAUUCCUGUACUUGGUGUUACUGCGAAGGGGGGACGGAGAAGGCUAUGUUAGCCGGGCGACGGUUGUCCCGGUUUAAGCAUGUAGGCGGAACGAUUAGGUAAAUCCGGUCGUUUUUUAACGCUGAGGUGUGAUGACGAGGCACUACGGUGCUGAAGUAACAAAUGCCCUGCUUCCAGGAAAAGCCUCUAAGCAUCAGGUAACAUCAAAUCGUACCCCAAACCGACACAGGUGGUCAGGUAGAGAAUACCAAGGCGCUUGAGAGAACUCGGGUGAAGGAACUAGGCAAAAUGGUGCCGUAACUUCGGGAGAAGGCACGCUGAUAUGUAGGUGAAGCCCCUGCGGGUGGAGCUGAAAUCAGUCGAAGAUACCAGCUGGCUGCAACUGUUUAUUAAAAACACAGCACUGUGCAAACACGAAAGUGGACGUAUACGGUGUGACGCCUGCCCGGUGCCGGAAGGUUAAUUGAUGGGGUUAGCGGCAACGCGAAGCUCUUGAUCGAAGCCCCGGUAAACGGCGGCCGUAACUAUAACGGUCCUAAGGUAGCGAAAUUCCUUGUCGGGUAAGUUCCGACCUGCACGAAUGGCGUAAUGAUGGCCAGGCUGUCUCCACCCGAGACUCAGUGAAAUUGAACUCGCUGUGAAGAUGCAGUGUACCCGCGGCAAGACGGAAAGACCCCGUGAACCUUUACUAUAGCUUGACACUGAACACUGGUCCUUGAUGUGUAGGAUAGGUGGGAGGCUUUGAAGUGUGGACGCCAGUCUGCAUGGAGCCGUCCUUGAAAUACCACCCUUUAAUGGCUGGUGUUCUAACGUAGACCCGUGAUCCGGGUUGCGGACAGUGUCUGGUGGGUAGUUUGACUGGGGCGGUCUCCUCCCAAAGAGUAACGGAGGAGCACGAAGGUUAGCUAAUCCUGGUCGGACAUCAGGAGGUUAGUGCAAUGGCAUAAGCUAGCUUGACUGCGAGAGUGACGGCUCGAGCAGGUGCGAAAGCAGGUCAUAGUGAUCCGGUGGUUCUGAAUGGAAGGGCCAUCGCUCAACGGAUAAAAGGUACUCCGGGGAUAACAGGCUGAUACCGCCCAAGAGUUCAUAUCGACGGCGGUGUUUGGCACCUCGAUGUCGGCUCAUCACAUCCUGGGGCUGAAGUAGGUCCCAAGGGUAUGGCUGUUCGCCAUUUAAAGUGGUACGCGAGCUGGGUUUAGAACGUCGUGAGACAGUUCGGUCCCUAUCUGCCGUGGGCGCUGGAGAAUUGAGGGGGGCUGCUCCUAGUACGAGAGGACCGGAGUGGACGCAUCACUGGUGUUCGGGUUGUCAUGCCAAUGGCACUGCCCGGUAGCUAAAUGCGGAAAAGAUAAGUGCUGAAAGCAUCUAAGCACGAAACUUGCCCCGAGAUGAGUUCUCCCUGAGACUUUAAGUCUCCUGAAGGAACGUUGAAGACGACGACGUUGAUAGGUCGGGUGUGUAAGCGCAGCGAUGCGUUGAGCUAACCGAUACUAAUGAACCGUGAGGCUUAACCUU